AGAGUUUGAUCCUGGCUCAGGAUGAACGCUAGCGACAGGCUUAACACAUGCAAGUCGAGGGGCAGCACAGGUAGCAAUACCGGGUGGCGACCGGCGCACGGGUGAGUAACGCGUAUGCAACUUACCUAUCAGAGGGGGAUAACCCGGCGAAAGUCGGACUAAUACCGCAUGAAGCAGGGGCCCCGCAUGGGGAUAUUUGCUAAAGAUUCAUCGCUGAUAGAUAGGCAUGCGUUCCAUUAGGCAGUUGGCGGGGUAACGGCCCACCAAACCGACGAUGGAUAGGGGUUCUGAGAGGAAGGUCCCCCACAUUGGUACUGAGACACGGACCAAACUCCUACGGGAGGCAGCAGUGAGGAAUAUUGGUCAAUGGACGCAAGUCUGAACCAGCCAUGCCGCGUGCAGGAAGACGGCUCUAUGAGUUGUAAACUGCUUUUGUACGAGGGUAAACGCAGAUACGUGUAUGUGUCUGAAAGUAUCGUACGAAUAAGGAUCGGCUAACUCCGUGCCAGCAGCCGCGGUAAUACGGAGGAUUCAAGCGUUAUCCGGAUUUAUUGGGUUUAAAGGGUGCGUAGGCGGUUUGAUAAGUUAGAGGUGAAAUCCCGGGGCUUAACUCCGGAACUGCCUCUAAUACUGUUAGACUAGAGAGUAGUUGCGGUAGGCGGAAUGUAUGGUGUAGCGGUGAAAUGCUUAGAGAUCAUACAGAACACCGAUUGCGAAGGCAGCUUACCAAACUAUAUCUGACGUUGAGGCACGAAAGCGUGGGGAGCAAACAGGAUUAGAUACCCUGGUAGUCCACGCAGUAAACGAUGAUAACUCGUUGUCGGCGAUACACAGUCGGUGACUAAGCGAAAGCGAUAAGUUAUCCACCUGGGGAGUACGUUCGCAAGAAUGAAACUCAAAGGAAUUGACGGGGGCCCGCACAAGCGGAGGAACAUGUG
rnacentral:rRNA from 1 species